rnacentral:tRNA from 1 species
UAGGAAGUGGUGUAGUGGAAGCACCAAGAGUUUUGAUCUCUUUGGCGGGGUUCGAAUCCCCUCUUUCUAA